UUAGCAUACGUUCAAGCGGACGUCCCACGAAACCGUCAAUUUCUUUGCUCUUAUGCCAUUGUGAAAUGGUGGUCCAGAUCCCACUCUCCUUCGAUUGGUUUUAGCGAAGAAUCUCGAGACCACGCGUCUGCAGAUCAAAUGGCCUUCAAACUUCUGAGACCGAUCCUUCGAUUGCAAAUGGUGGAUGUCUUCGCGCCAAUCUCUUUCUUUAAUUUAUCACCGGUAAAUGUCUUUGCGCCAAUCUGAGAUUUCUACUUUUCAGAUGAUUAUUCGUAUUAUUAAGGUUGAUCGCAUCUUCUGCUUUUUAGUUUAAACACAUUAAGAAGUUGAUGUUUUAUCCAGUUUGAAUUGAGGAAUAGAUUCUCAAAAUGAAGCAGGUUGUACUCUGUCGCUUACGGAAUUAAGCUAGAGCCAUGAAUUGUCUCCAUCUCGCCGCUAAGUACCCUGUUAUGAUUCUAGCUCGUUACCUUCCUUUCCUUUUCCUUGUUCGUGGGGGCAUUCGGAUAGCGAGGUUAAGAUCGCACAAUACGAAUGAGGUUAUAUUUUAUGGAGUGUCAUGCUGUUUUCGUCUUUGGUUGUGGUUGCAGGACAGCCCUAUUUUCUUCAACUAAGACCUCAAGGUUUUCAUCCCAAGUAUUAUGCAUGCUUAUUAUUUGAUCCAUGUUUUCCAUGGGAUUUUUGACGGAUUAUGUAUGCCCGUGGACUAACAAAAGUUUGAUUAACAUGGAAAUCUUUUAAUCGAUGAAAUUUCUGCCUCAAUGUGAUAUGCUUUUAGUCACAAAUUUGUUAGAACAUACAUUAUAAUAUACAAAUUACUUGCUCGAGUUGGAAUUCAUGGUUUUUCUGGUUCAUGAAAGAAUAUAUUGAAGCAGCGAAGUCCGUGUUUUCUAUUGGAGAGUAUUGGGAUUCUUGUAAUUAUAAUGGCCAUGACUUGGACUACGAUCAAGAUAGACAUAGAAUGGAUAAUAGAUUGGAUUGACAACACCGGAUAACUUUCAUCUGCUUUUGAUUUUACAACCAAGGGAGUUCUUCAGGUCUCCCUGUAUGUGAGGCCAUUGCAAACCCCCGCCCCCCCCAAAGUGUCCAUUGGCCCCUUCCUGCCAGCCAUAUCAUGGAGGCAUCCAAACUGUAUCAGCUUGGAAUAGAGUGUUAUCUUGUUUGCAGUCUAAUUCUCGCUCACUCCGCUGUGGCUUUCUUUCAGCUAUGCUUCGUUUUAUAGAAUAAUCUAACCGUCCUGUGUGCACACUACUACCUUGUCCCAGUCAUCAAACUUGGGCAACUUGGUUUUACCUGCCACUUGAUUAAUGGAUAGACCGAUUAAUUUAUUCUCGAGAGAUUCUCUACAUGCAGGAUUGUAAAGUAGAUUUGCUGAGGACUCCAAGUGCAGCAGCGAUGAACACCUCUCUCUGACGUCCACCGCCGAACCAUAAUUGGCUUCUCAG